rnacentral:sRNA from 1 species
UUUGGUCACGUUGCUGUGCUGCUGGUUGCCUUUCUCGAUGGGCGAUGGGCGAUGGUCGAUGGGCAGUGGUUGUUGGGCGCCUGCGGUAAAUUUCAUUUUGCAGGGCAUCAUUAGACUGAGACCCAGAGACCUAGAUUUCCAUGCUAAUUGGAUUCGCAAUAAAGGCGCUCGGUGCCCGGCGAGCCCGAGAUCGAAGAAUUCCGGCCGUCUUGGCAGCCAGAGAAUUUGAAGAAAAAUUAAAUUCCCCAGUCAACAUGAAUGUUUCAUCUGCCACAUUUUUGCAAAUGAGUUAUGACCGCAAAAGAAUUUCGCCAGCCACAAAAAAGAAGCCAGUCAAAUAAAUUAUUAAGAGCGAAUUUGAUGAAUGGAGUUGACUGACAGUAUGUGGGAUUUCUUGGAAGCAAAAAAAAGAAGGAUAAGCCGAAGGGCAAGUCCAAUGGACAAAUUGUCUGAGGACCUUUAUUGUGUUUUGUGAAAUGCUUUAAAUUAACCGAGCAAAGUUUUGGCAACUCCACUUAACUAAGUGUGGCCGACAGGCUAAACGCUCAGUGGGAAACCCCUUCAAAUUCCUUGGCCAAGCGCAUUUCACUCGCCUCCAUGUGACUCUAAUCAGCGCUUAAUUAUGCAUGCUUGCCGGGCCAAAAGUCCCCCAUUAAUCAGCAUCAUUUAUUGCCGAGCAAGCUGCUCGAAUUCAAACUCGAAUUGAAAUUCAAGCUGGCAGCCAAAAAAGCCAAGCUCGGCACGAUGGCCCCAAAUGGCCAAAAAGGAGCCAGGAGCAGGACAACAAGCAACUGCCAGCUAAGCCAAAUUCUUUUCGAAUGCCCUGCUCCUUGGAAUAGAAGCCAGCCCAGCCCCUCCUCUUUCAUUUAAAAGAAUUAAGCACUUUUCUGCAUCGCAACCACAGCAGUGGAGCAGUUGAGCGGUGGAGAUGCAGCUCCUGGCAUCGGUUCCUUCUGGUCCUGUUCCUUUCCGGGAGCUGCUCCUUCAGGAACUUUCAACAACUUCCUAUGCCCAAAGUUUCCACAAAUUAGUUAUGCAAAUUAUGUGAGUCGCCUUUACCUCACCAGGACUCCAUCUUCCACGGCUCGAAGCCAACCAUCCGAGCAUCCCCCACCAAAAAAGCACCCCCACUGUGAUCCGGCAUUUAAAACAAUGGCUGGCGACCCUUGGCUGGCAAAACGCUCCCAAAAGUGAGUCCUCCGAGCAGAAGACCAGCCCGAUUAGGACGCAUAACAAAGUAGAAUUUGUGUAAGUUCGUAUUUAACAUGCUUUAUGCAUUCCUCAAUUAUAAAUAGAUUAAAGUCCCGAAUAGACUAAA